GGAAUCAAAUCGAAGCAGCCAUGGCUCUCGUGGAGGGAAACAACGGCGUGUCGGGGGGAGCGGUCAGCUUCAGCGAGGAGCAGGAGGCGCUUGUGCUCAAGUCGUGGGCCAUCAUGAAGAAGGAUUCCGCCAACAUUGGACUCCGCUUCUUCUUGAAGAUCUUCGAGGUCGCGCCGUCGGCGAGCCAGAUGUUCUCGUUCCUGCGCAACUCCGACGUGCCGCUCGAGAAGAACCCCAAGCUCAAGACCCACGCCAUGUCCGUCUUCGUCAUGACAUGUGAGGCCGCCGCGCAGCUGCGGAAAGCCGGGAAGGUCACCGUGAGAGACACCACCCUGAAGAGGCUCGGCGCCACGCACUUCAAGUACGGCGUCGGAGACGCCCACUUUGAGGUGACGAGGUUCGCGCUGCUUGAGACGAUCAAGGAGGCGGUUCCGGUGGACAUGUGGAGCCCCGCGAUGAAGAGCGCGUGGAGCGAAGCCUACAACCAACUGGUCGCGGCCAUCAAGCAGGAGAUGAAGCCUGCUGAGUGAUAUAUAUACUGCUCCACCUCCAUGAUCCUCGCUGAUCAACUUUGUUGCAUUGUGCUCGUUCAAUAUUCCUCGCCCCACAAAAGGGACUUUUGUC
rnacentral:misc_RNA from 1 species